GAUGAACGCUGGCGGCGUGCCUAAUACAUGCAAGUCGAGCGAACAGAUGAGGAGCUUGCUCCUCUGACGUUAGCGGCGGACGGGUGAGUAACACGUGGAUAACCUACCUAUAAGACUGGGAUAACUUCGGGAAACCGGAGCUAAUACCGGAUAAUAUAUUGAACCGCCUGGUUCAAUAGUGAAAGACGGUUUUGCUGUCACUUAUAGAUGGAUCCGCGCCGCAUUAGCUAGUUGGUAAGGUAACGGCUUACCAAGGCAACGAUGCGUAGCCGACCUGAGAGGGUGAUCGGCCACACGGGAACUGAGACACGGUCCAGACUCAUACGGGAGGCAGCAGUAGGGAAUCUUCCGCAAUGGGCGAAAGCCUGACGGAGCAACGCCGCGUGAGUGAUGAAGGUCUUCGGAUCGUAAAACUCUGUUAUUAGGGAAGAACAAAUGUGUAAGUAACUAUGCACGUCUUGACGGUACCUAAUCAGAAAGCCACGGCUAACUACGUG
rnacentral:rRNA from 1 species